UACGUAGGUGGCGAGCGUUAUCCGGAAUUAUUGGGCGUAAAGAGCGCGCAGGUGGUUGAUUAAGUCUGAUGUGAAAGCCCACGGCUUAACCGUGGAGGGUCAUUGGAAACUGGUCAACUUGAGUGCAGAAGAGGGAAGUGGAAUUCCAUGUGUAGCGGUGAAAUGCGUAGAGAUAUGGAGGAACACCAGUGGCGAAGGCGGCUUCCUGGUCUGUAACUGACACUGGAGGCGCGAAAGCGUGGGGAGCAAACAGGAUUAGAUA
rnacentral:rRNA from 1 species